rnacentral:snRNA from 1 species
GUGCUUGCUUCAGCAGCACAUAUACUAAAAUUGAAACGAUACAGAAAAGAUUAGCAUGGCCCCUACGCAAGAAU